rnacentral:rRNA from 1 species
GGGUUGUGAGGUUAAGCGACUAAGCGUACACGGUGGAUGCCCUGGCAGUCAGAGGCGAUGAAGGACGUGCUAAUCUGCGAAAAGCGCCGGCGAGGUGAUAUGAACCCUUGACCCGGCGAUGUCCGAAUGGGGAAACCCAGUGCAAUCCGUUGCACUAUCGUUAACUGAAUACAUAGGUUAACGAGGCGAACCGGGGGAACUGAAACAUCUAAGUACCCCGAGGAAAAGAAAUCAACCGAGAUUCCCCCAGUAGCGGCGAGCGAACGGGGAGCAGCCCGGAGUCUGAAUCAGCUUGUGUGUUAGUGGAACGGUCUGGAAAGUCCGACGGUACAGGGUGAUAGUCCCGUACACGAAAGCACACUUGCUGUGAACUCGAAGAGUAGGGCGGGACACGUGGUAUCCUGUCUGAAUAUGGGGGGACCAUCCUCCAAGGCUAAAUACUCCUGACUGACCGAUAGUGAACCAGUACCGUGAGGGAAAGGCGAAAAGAACCCCGGCGAGGGGAGUGAAAAAGAACCUGAAACCGUGUACGUACAAGCAGUGGGAGCCUCUUUAUGGGGUGACUGCGUACCUUUUGUAUAAUGGGUCAGCGACUUAUAUUCUGUAGCAAGGUUAACCGUAUAGGGGAGCCGAAGGGAAACCGAGUCUUAACUGGGCGUUAAGUUGCAGGGUAUAGACCCGAAACCCGGUGAUCUAGCCAUGGGCAGGUUGAAGGUUGGGUAACACUAACUGGAGGACCGAACCGACUAAUGUUGAAAAAUUAGCGGAUGACCUGUGGCUGGGGGUGAAAGGCCAAUCAAACCGGGAGAUAGCUGGUUCUCCCCGAAAGCUAUUUAGGUAGCGCCUCGUGAACUCAUCUUCGGGGGUAGAGCACUGUUUCGGCUAGGGGGCCAUCCCGGCUUACCAACCCGAUGCAAACUACGAAUACCGAAGAAUGUUAUCACGGGAGACACACGGCGGGUGCUAACGUCCGUCGUGAAGAGGGAAACAACCCAGACCGCCAGCUAAGGUCCCAAAGUCAUGGUUAAGUGGGAAACGAUGUGGGAAGGCACAGACAGCCAGGAUGUUGGCUUAGAAGCAGCCAUCAUUUAAAGAAAGCGUAAUAGCUCACUGGUCGAGUCGGCCUGCGCGGAAGAUGUAACGGGGCUAAACCAUGCACCGAAGCUGCGGCAGCGACGCUUAUGCGUUGUUGGGUAGGGGAGCGUUCUGUAAGCCGUUGAAGGUGUCCUGUGAGGGGUGCUGGAGGUAUCAGAAGUGCGAAUGCUGACAUAAGUAACGAUAAAGCGGGUGAAAAGCCCGCUCGCCGGAAGACCAAGGGUUCCUGUCCAACGUUAAUCGGGGCAGGGUGAGUCGACCCCUAAGGCGAGGCCGAAAGGCGUAGUCGAUGGGAAACAGGUUAAUAUUCCUGUACUUGGUGUUACUGCGAAGGGGGGACGGAGAAGGCUAUGUCAGCCGGGCGACGGUUGUCCCGGUUUAAGCAUGUAGGCGGAGGUUCCAGGUAAAUCCGGUACCUUAUUAACGCUGAGGUGUGAUGACGAGGCACUACGGUGCUGAAGUGAUAAAUGCCCUGCUUCCAGGAAAAGCCUCUAAGCAUCAGGUAACACGAAAUCGUACCCCAAACCGACACAGGUGGUCAGGUAGAGAAUACCAAGGCGCUUGAGAGAACUCGGGUGAAGGAACUAGGCAAAAUGGUGCCGUAACUUCGGGAGAAGGCACGCUGAUAUGUAGGUGAAGUCCCUGCGGACGGAGCUGAAAUCAGUCGAAGAUACCAGCUGGCUGCAACUGUUUAUUAAAAACACAGCACUGUGCAAACACGAAAGUGGACGUAUACGGUGUGACGCCUGCCCGGUGCCGGAAGGUUAAUUGAUGGGGUUAGCGGCAACGCGAAGCUCUUGAUCGAAGCCCCGGUAAACGGCGGCCGUAACUAUAACGGUCCUAAGGUAGCGAAAUUCCUUGUCGGGUAAGUUCCGACCUGCACGAAUGGCGUAAUGAUGGCCAGGCUGUCUCCACCCGAGACUCAGUGAAAUUGAACUCGCUGUGAAGAUGCAGUGUACCCGCGGCAAGACGGAAAGACCCCGUGAACCUUUACUAUAGCUUGACACUGAACACUGGUCCUUGAUGUGUAGGAUAGGUGGGAGGCUUUGAAGCGUGGACGCCAGUCUGCGUGGAGCCAACCUUGAAAUACCACCCUUUAAUGGCUGGUGUUCUAACGUAGACCCGUAAUCCGGGUUGCGGACAGUGUCUGGUGGGUAGUUUGACUGGGGCGGUCUCCUCCCAAAGAGUAACGGAGGAGCACGAAGGUUGGCUAAUCCUGGUCGGACAUCAGGAGGUUAGUGCAAUGGCAUAAGCCAGCUUGACUGCGAGCGUGACGGCGCGAGCAGGUGCGAAAGCAGGUCAUAGUGAUCCGGUGGUUCUGAAUGGAAGGGCCAUCGCUCAACGGAUAAAAGGUACUCCGGGGAUAACAGGCUGAUACCGCCCAAGAGUUCAUAUCGACGGCGGUGUUUGGCACCUCGAUGUCGGCUCAUCACAUCCUGGGGCUGAAGUAGGUCCCAAGGGUAUGGCUGUUCGCCAUUUAAAGUGGUACGCGAGCUGGGUUUAGAACGUCGUGAGACAGUUCGGUCCCUAUCUGCCGUGGGCGCUGGAGAAUUGAGGGGGGCUGCUCCUAGUACGAGAGGACCGGAGUGGACGCAUCACUGGUGUUCGGGUUGUCAUGCCAAUGGCACUGCCCGGUAGCUAAAUGCGGAAGAGAUAAGUGCUGAAAGCAUCUAAGCACGAAACUUGCCCCGAGAUGAGUUCUCCCUGAGACUUUAAGUCUCCUGAAGGAACGUUGAAGACGACGACGUUGAUAGGUCGGGUGUGUAAGCGCAGCGAUGCGUUGAGCUAACCGAUACUAAUGAACCGUGAGGCUUAACCUUACAACGCCGAAGCUGUU